UUACUUACCUGGACGGGGUCUAUGGCUGAUCAAUAAGAGUCAUGGCCUAGGCUAGUGACCCGCAUUGCACUUUGUGGAUGCGUUGGCCUACCAUCUCCCUUUGAAGGAGAGUGGACGUCAUAAUUUGUGGUAGAGGGGGUACGCGUUCGCGCGGCCCCUAC